rnacentral:rRNA from 1 species
ACGGGAGGCAGCAGUGGGGAAUAUUGGGCAAUGGGCGCAAGCCUGACCCAGCGACGCCGCGUGAGGGAAGAAGGUCUUCGGAUUGUAAACUUCUUUCAGCAGGGAAGACAGAAGACGGUACCUGCAGAAGAAGUCACGGCUAACUACGUGCCAGCAGCCGCGGCAAUACGUAGGUGGCGAGCGUUAUCCGGAAUUACUGGGUGUAAAGGGUGUGUAGGCGGAGAGGCAAGUCAGGCGUGAAAUACUCGGGCUCAACCCGGGAACUGCGCUUGAAACUGUUUCCCUUGAGAGUGGGAGAGGUAAACGGAAUUCCUGGUGUAGUAGUGAAAUGCGUAGAUAUCAGGAGGAACACCGGUGGCGAAGGCGGUUUACUGGACCACAACUGACGCUGAGACACGAAAGCGUGGGGAGCAAACAGGAUUAGAUACCCUGGUA